UUCAUGAGAGACGUCGUGUGAAAAAUACUGAGGGUGAAGGCUAAAUGUAACCGAAUUCACAGGCAAAGCAAGAAAUAUGUACAGAAAGUCUACAACACUGUACGACAUUGUGAGGCAUCCGGUCAACAUAAAGGCUGGGUACCCGUCCAUCCCCUCGUGGCUCCUGGUCAUACAAUGCCUCUGCCAUGCUGGGCUCUGCCUUCAGUCUCUUAAGGAUGGUGUGAAAUGAUGGCAGGAAGUUCAGCCAGUGAGAGGGAAGAAGAGGUGAGAAGGAAAAUCUGAUGGAAGGCGAAAGAAGAGGACUAGACGGAUGAAGUGAGAAGGAAAGACAAAGCAAUGGAGAAGUUGGCAGCAGGAGAUAAUGAGACUGCCAUUAACCCUGCGCUGCAAGACCAACAUGUAAGGAGGUCCCUACGUCACAUAUUAGGCCAUAGGAAGACCUACCACUCGGACUGUCUUCAUCUUCCUCUUUGAUGGCCUGGAACAUAUGUAUAUAUACGUAUGUAUAUUUUAAUCCUCCAGCCAUACUCACGAAGGGCUCGGAGCGAGCGAGGAGUUAAAAGAACGCUCCAAGAGAUUAAGGCCGGCAUGCGUCCUGGAAGCUGGAUAGGCCGGUAGGCUGGAAAGAGUCAGCCAAUGGGGGACGAGUAUUCAGCAGCAGUGAAAGUUAGUGGAGCCGUAUGUCUGGCUGGAUAAGCCUGGGAGUGCAGGGAUAGAAUGGUGCAGCCUGACUAUUGGUGAAUCUGUAGUAAAUUCCCCAUAUGUGACCGCCAUCGAUAUAAAACGCCGUAUAUACGGUAUAUAAAAAAAUACGCAACUAUCAAUCGACGCUACAGUGUGUUAUAUGCAAUGUUACUACCCUGGUGUGAUGUGCUCCAGGUAACUCAGUCCGCUGCACCGCACAACAUGUACUCUGUGAUCCUUGGCCGCCGUCCAUAGGAACUAAUCAUCUUCUUCCCUCGCACUUCCAGCUGAUGCUGUUUCUAAUAUUCACGCACGGUUUCCGAAGCAUAUAACUAUUAUACCGUUGUAAAAAAAA